UCGGACGUGGUGUAUGGAACACGGCCUCUUCAAUUGUUCAUUGGCUUUUGGGCGGGAGCCAGUCCCGGGUUCGAUUCCCGGCGUCCGAA